GGAAGGAGGAGAUGCAUUUCAUACCUUCAGGGACAAGUGUCAUGGGUUGACAGGGUUCCAGGGUUGAUUCAGCUGAUCUGGCUGGCUAGGCAGGUGUCCCCUUCCUCCCUCACCGCUCCAUGUGCGUCCCUCCUGAAGCUGCGCACUCGGUUGAAGAGGACGACCUUCCCUGAUACAGGUGGUACUGUUCAUCGGUCACGGGUAUACAGUAGCUGUGCUCCCCUGCUAGAACCUCCAAACAAGCUCAAGGUCCAGUUGUAGGAGAACAUAGGGUAGUCAAGCUUCCAAGACUGCAGACACAUCCAAGUGAGGCGCUGCACGUGGCAGUCUGCCAUUCUU
rnacentral:snRNA from 14 species